rnacentral:rRNA from 1 species
GACGAACGCUGGCGGCGUGCUUAACACAUGCAAGUCGAACGGAAAGGCCCUGCUUGCAGGGUACUCGAGUGGCGAACGGGUGAGUAACACGUGGGUGAUCUGCCCUGCACUUCGGGAUAAGCCUGGGAAACUGGGUCUAAUACCGGAUAGGAGCCAUUUUUAUUGUGAUGGUUGGAAAGUUUUUUCGGUGUAGGAUGAGCUCGCGGCCUAUCAGCUUGUUGGUGGGGUAAUGGCCUACCAAGGCGGCGACGGGUAGCCGGCCUGAGAGGGUGGACGGCCACAUUGGGACUGAGAUACGGCCCAGACUCCUACGGGAGGCAGCAGUGGGGAAUAUUGCACAAUGGGCGCAAGCCUGAUGCAGCGACGCCGCGUGGGGGAUGACGGCCUUCGGGUUGUAAACUCCUUUCGCUAGGGACGAAGCUUUUUGUGACGGUACCUAGAUAAGAAGCACCGGCUAACUACGU